GGAAGAGAGGAUGGAAGCUCAACUAGAAUAAGAGGGGAGUUUGAAAAUGCUAAAACUGUGGGGAAGCAAAAUACAAUUCUGGGAGCAAUGAGUCAUUGACAUUUCUAGGAUAAGGAUCAAGUGACUCGCUUCUUGGACAGUUGAGCCAUUUAAAUAUACAAUCCAUCUACAGUUCCGGGUCAUUUUGGAGCACAAGCAGGAUGGAGAUGAAAUGCACCAAAUCCCUGGGAAAUUUAAGUGGCAAGGC